rnacentral:rRNA from 1 species
UACAGAGGGGGCAAGCGUUGUUCGGAAUUACUGGGCGUAAAGGGCUCGUAGGCGGCCAACUAAGUCAGACGUGAAAUCCCUCAGCUUAACUGGGGAACUGCGUCUGAUACUGGAUGGCUUGGAUUCGGGAGAGGAAUGCGGAAUUCCAGGUGUAGCGGUGAAAUGCGUAGAUAUCUGGAGGAACACCGGUGGCGAAGGCGGCAUCCUGGACCAAUACUGACGCUGAGGAGCGAAAGCCAGGGGAGCAAACGGG